AUCACUGUAGCACAACAGAUAGUGCAUUGGACUUCUAAUUCGAAGGUCGUGGGUUUGAAUCCCACCUGAGAUG